rnacentral:rRNA from 1 species
UUGACCUCGGAUCAGGUAGGAAUACCCGCUGAACUUAAGA